rnacentral:rRNA from 1 species
AUACGUAGGUGACAAGCGUUAUCCGGAUUUACUGGGCGUAAAGGGCGUGUAGGCGGUCUUGCAAGUCAGAAGUGAAAUUCCUGAGCUCAACUCGGGCGCUGCUUCUGAAACUGCAGGACUUGAGUGCUGGAGGGGAUAGCGGAAUUCCUAGUGGAGCGGUAAAAUGCGCAGAUAUUAGGAAGAACACCGGUGGCGAAGGCGGCUAUCUGGACAGUAACUGACGCUGAGGCGCGAAAGCGUGGGGAGCAAACAGGAGUAGAUACCCUGGUAGGCCACGCCGUAAACGAUGAAUACUAGGUGUAGGGGGUAUCGACUCCCUCUGUGCCGCAGUUAACACAAUAAGUAUUCCGCCUGGGGAGUACGGCCGCAAGGUUGAAACUCAAAUGAAUUGACGGGU